CCCUUAGAUGUUCUGGGCCGCACGCGCGCUACACUGAUGAAUUCAACGAGCACUAACCUGUGCCGAAAGGUUCGGGUAAUCUUGUGAAAUUUCAUCGUGAUGGGGAUUGAUUAUUGCAAUUUUUAAUCAUAAACGAGGAAUGCCUAGUAAGCGUGAGUCAUCAGCUCACGUUGAUUACGUCCCUGCUCUUUGUACACACCGCCCGUCGCUCCUACCGAUUGAAUGUGCCAGUGAAAAGUUCGGAUUGGAGAUAGGAAACGGCAACGUAUCCUAUUUCCGAGAAAAUCUUUAAACUUUCCCAUUUAGAGGAAGGAGAAGUCGUAACA
rnacentral:rRNA from 1 species